rnacentral:rRNA from 1 species
UUCGGGUAUCCGGCGGACGGGUGAGUAACACGUAGGCCACCUGCCUGUAAGAUCGGGAUAACUAUCGGAAACGGUAGCUAAGACCGGAUAGCUGGUUUUCUCGCAUGAGAGAAUCAUGAAACACGGGGCAACCUGUGGCUUACAGAUGGGCCUGCGGCGCAUUAGCUAGUUGGUAGGGUAACGGCCUACCAAGGCGACGAUGCGUAGCCGACCUGAGAGGGUGAACGGCCACACUGGGACUGAGACACGGCCCAGACUCCUACGGGAGGCAGCAGUAGGGAAUCUUCCGCAAUGGACGCAAGUCUGACGGAGCAACGCCGCGUGAGUGAUGAAGGUUUUCGGAUCGUAAAGCUCUGUUGCCCUAGACGAAUAGCAAGGCGAGUAACUGCGCUUUGUGUGACGGUAUAGGAGAAGAAAGCCCCGGCUAACUACGUGCCAGCAGCCGCGGUAAUACGUAGGGGGCAAGCGUUGUCCGGAAUUAUUGGGCGUAAAGCGCGCGCAGGCGGUUAAUUAAGUUUGGUGUUUAAGCCCGGGGCUCAACCCCGGUUCGCAUCGAAAACUGGUUGACUUGAGUGUAGGAGAGGAAAGUGGAAUUCCACGUGUAGCGGUGAAAUGCGUANAGAUGUGGAGGAACACCAGUGGCGAAAGCGACUUUCUGGCCUAUAACUGACGCUGAGGCGCGAAAGCGUGGGGAGCCAACCGGAUUAAAUACCCUGGUUAUCCCCGCCGUAAACGAUGAAUGCUAGGUGUUAGGGGUUCUAUGCCCUUGGUGGCCAAAUUAACCCAGUAAGCACUCCCGCCUGGGGAGACCCCUCGCCAGAAGGGAACUCAAAGGAUUUGACGGGGACCCCGCCCAACCGGUGAAUUAUGGGUUUAAUUCCAACCACCCGCAAAA